AUUUGCUGGAGAUGGAAAACAAUGUUCUGAUGUAGAUGGAUGUGAGAUGGGUCUCUCAGUUUGCCCUCCCACCUCCCCCAAGUGUGUCAAUACAGAAGGUGGCUAUGUCUGCUGGCGCUCAGAGAGCUACCAGGGAGAUGGAAUCCACUGUUUGGAUAUUGAUGAGUGCCGACGGGGCGUGCACAGCUGUGGGGAAAAUGCCACCUGAAAAAAUAUGGAGGGAAACCACACUUGCACGUGUGCUGGCGACUUGUCUGAGCCUGGACAGAUUUGCCCUGACUCUACUCUGCUGUCUCACCUUGGGAAGAAUGGACACAAUUUUUUGAAAAAAUGUUUCCCUGAAUAUACCC
ensembl:lncRNA